CCGGGUGAGCAACACGUAUCCAACCUGCCGUCUACUCUUGGACAGCCUUCUGAAAGGAAGAUUAAUACAAGAUGGCAUCAUGAGUUCACAUGUUCACAUGAUUAAAGGUAUUCCGGUAGACGAUGGGGAUGCGUUCCAUUAGAUAGUAGGCGGGGUAACGGCCCACCUAGUCUUCGAUGGAUAGGGGUUCUGAGAGGAAGGUCCCCCACAUUGGAACUGAGACACGGUCCAA
rnacentral:rRNA from 1 species